rnacentral:rRNA from 1 species
UCCUGGCUCAGAUUGAACGCUGGCGGCAUGCCUUACACAUGCAAGUCGAACGGCAGCGGACCUUCGGGUGCCGGCGAGUGGCGAACGGGUGAGUAAUAUAUCGGAACGUACCUUCAGGUGGGGGAUAACGUAGCGAAAGUUACGCUAAUACCGCAUAUCCUGUGAGCAGGAAAGCAGGGGAUCGCAAGACCUUGCGCUGAUUGAGCGGCCGAUAUCAGAUUAGCUAGUUGGUGAGGUAAAGGCUCACCAAGGCGACGAUCUGUAGCGGGUCUGAGAGGAUGAUCCGCCACACUGGAACUGAGACACGGUCCAGACUCCUACGGGAGGCAGCAGUGGGGAAUUUUGGACAAUGGGCGCAAGCCUGAUCCAGCCAUGCCGCGUGAGUGAAGAAGGCCUUCGGGUUGUAAAGCUCUUUCGGCCGGGAAGAAAUCGCACAGGUUAAUACCCUGUGUGGAUGACGGUACCGGAAUAAGAAGCACCGGCUAACUACGUG